rnacentral:rRNA from 1 species
GACGAACGCUGGCGGCGUGCUUAACACAUGCAAGUCGAACGGAAAGGCCCCCUUGUGGGGUACUCGAGUGGCGAACGGGUGAGUAACACGAGAGUAACCUACCCUUGACUUUGGGAUAACUUCAGGAAACUGGGGCUAAUACCGGAUCGGAGCUCCUGCUGCAUGGUGGGGGUUGGAAAGUUUCGGCGGUUGGGGAUGGACUCGCGGCUUAUCAGCUUGUUGGUGGGGUAGUGGCUUACCAAGGCUUUGACGGGUAGCCGGCCUGAGAGGGUGACCGGCCACCUUGGGACUGCGAGACGGCCCAGACUCCUACGGGAGGCAGCAGUGGGGAAUAUUGCACAAUGGGCGGAAGCCUGAUGCAGCAACGCCGCGUGCGGGAUGACGGCCUUCGGGUUGUAAACCGCUUUCGCCUGUGACGAAGCGUGAGUGACGGUAAUGGGUAAAGAAGCACCGGCUAACUACGUG